rnacentral:rRNA from 1 species
AGGGCGCAUGGUGAAUGCCUUGGCAUCAGGAGCCGAUGAAGGACGUGAUAAGCUGCGAUAAGCUUCGGGUAGGCGCACAUAGCCAGAGAUCCGGAGAUUUCCGAAUGGGGAAACCCGCAUGAGAAACCUCAUGCAUCGUAAAGUGAAUACAUAGCUUUAUGAAGGAACACCUAGGGAACUGAAACAUCUAAGUACCUAGAGGAAGAGAAAGAAAAAUCGAUUUUCUUAGUAGCGGCGAGCGAAAAGGAAAGAGCCCAAACCAGAGAUUUAUCUCUGGGGUUGCGGACAGAACAUAACGUGAAAUUAUGAUUAACCGAACACAACUGGAAAGUUGGACCGUAGGAGGUAAUAGUCCUGUAAGUAAAAGUCAUAAUGAUCAGUUCUGCACCAGAGUACCACGAGACACGUGAAACCUUGUGGGAAGCAGGGAGGACCACCUCCCAAGGCUAAAUACUACCUGAUGACCGAUAGUGAAGCAGUACCGUGAGGGAAAGGUGAAAAGAACCCCGGGAGGGGAGUGAAAUAGAACCUGAAACCAUGUGCCUACAACCGAUCAAAGCACCUUAUGUGUGUGAUGAUGUGCUUUUUGUAGAACGAGCCAACGAGUUACGGUAUGUAGCGAGGUUAAGUACUUAAGGUACGGAGCCGAAGGGAAACCGAGUCUUAAUAGGGCGACUAGUUGCAUGCUGUAGACCCGAAACCGGGUGACCUAUCCAUGGCCAGGUUGAAGCGAGGGUAAAACCUCGUGGAGGACCGAACCACGUUGCUGUUGAAAAAGCAUGGGAUGAGCUGUGGAUAGCGGAGAAAUUCCAAUCGAACUCGGAUAUAGCUGGUUCUCCUCGAAAUAGCUUUAGGGCUAGCGUCGUGAAAUGUGAGUACUGGAGGUAGAGCACUGAAUAGGCUAGGGGGCAUAGCGCUUACCGAACCUUAUCAAACUCCGAAUGCCAGAUACUAUCAGCACGGCAGUCAGACUAUGAAAGAUAAGUUCCAUGGUCAAAAGGGAAACAGCCCAGAUCGUCAGCUAAGGUCCCAAAGUGUAAGUUAAGUGGAAAAGGAUGUGGGAUUUCUAAGACAACUAGGAUGUUGGCUUAGAAGCAGCCACUCAUUAAAAGAGUGCGUAAUAGCUCACUAGUCAAGAGAUCCUGCGCCGAAAAUGUCCGGGGCUCAAACUUACCACCGAAGCUACGGGUUCAUACUUUGUAUGAGCGGUAGAGGAGCGUCGUAAUCGGGCUGAAGUCGUACCGUAAGGAGCGGUGGACUGAUUACGAGUGAGAAUGUUGGCAUUAGUAGCGAGAUGUAGGUGAGAAUCCUACAGGCCGAAUAUCUAAGGUUUCCUGAGUAAAGUUUGUCUUCUCAGGGUUAGUCGGGACCUAAGGCGAGGCCGAGAGGCGUAGUCGAUGGACAAUUGGUUGAUAUUCCAAUACCACUAUAAUCGUUAUUAUCGAUGGUGUGACGGAGAAGGAUAGGAUGUGCCAGCUAUUGGAUGCUGGUCUAAGCGUUGAGGGAGUUAGAACAGGCAAAUCCGUUCUAACAAUCCUAGGGCGUGAUGGGGAAGGUUCCACGGAACCGAAGUAUCUGAUUUCAUGCUUCCAAGAAAAGCAUCUAGAAAGAGAAGUAGUGCCCGUACCGCAAACCGACACAGGUAGAUGAGGAGAGAAUCCUAAGGCCGACGGAAGAAUCACAGUUAAGGAACUAGGCAAAUUGACCCCGUAACUUCGGGAGAAGGGGUGCCUACCAUCUGGUAGGCCGCAGAGAAUAGGCACAAGCAACUGUUUAACAAAAACACAGGUCUCUGCUAAAGCGUAAGCUGAUGUAUAGGGGCUGACGCCUGCCCGGUGCUGGAAGGUUAAGGGGAACACUUAGCGCAAGCGAAGGUGUGAACUUAAGCCCCAGUAAACGGCGGCCGUAACUAUAACGGUCCUAAGGUAGCGAAAUUCCUUGUCAGGUAAGUUCUGACCCGCACGAAUGGCGUAAUGACUUGUGCACUGUCUCAACUGUGAAUCCGGCGAAGUUGUAGUGCGAGUGAAGAUGCUCGCUACCCGCGAUUGGACGGAAAGACCCCGUAGAGCUUUACUGUAGCUUAGCAUUGAAUUUCGGUAUUGUCUGUACAGGAUAGGUGGGAGACUGGGAAAUUAGGGCGUCAGCCUUAAUGGAGUCGUUGUUGGGAUACCACCCUGAUAGUAUUGAAGUUCUAACUGGAUGCCAUGAAACUGGUGACAGGACAUUGUUAGGUGGGCAGUUUGACUGGGGCGGUCGCCUCCUAAAAUGUAACGGAGGCGCCCAAAGGUUCCCUCAGAACGGUCGGAAAUCGUUCGUAGAGUGUAAAGGCAUAAGGGAGCCUGACUGCGAGACCUACAAGUCGAGCAGGGACGAAAGUCGGGCUUAGUGAUCCGGUGGUACCUCGUGGGAGGGCCAUCGCUCAACGGAUAAAAGCUACCUCGGGGAUAACAGGCUGAUCUCCCCCAAGAGUUCACAUCGACGGGGAGGUUUGGCACCUCGAUGUCGGCUCGUCGCAUCCUGGGGCUGAAGUAGGUCCCAAGGGUUGGGCUGUUCGCCCAUUAAAGCGGCACGCGAGCUGGGUUCAGAACGUCGUGAGACAGUUCGGUCCCUAUCCGUCGCGGGCGUAGGAAAUUUGAGAGGAGCUGUCCUUAGUACGAGAGGACCGGGAUGGACUGACCUAUGGUGUACCAGUUGUUUCGCCAGAAGCAUAGCUGGGUAGCUAAGUCGGGAAGGGAUAAACGCUGAAAGCAUCUAAGUGUGAAGCCCACCUCAAGAUGAGAUUUCCCAUUUCU